rnacentral:rRNA from 1 species
UACGGAGGAUGCAAGCGUUAUCCGGAAUGAUUGGGCGUAAAGAGUCCGCAGGUGGUUGUGUGUGUCUAUUGUCAAAGCAUCAUGCUUAACAUGAUAAAGGCAGUAGAAACUACACGACUAGAGUGCGUUCGGGGCAGAGGGAAUUCCUGGUGUAGCGGUGAAAUGCGUAGAGAUCAGGAAGGACACCGGUGGCGAAAGCGCUCUGCUAGGCCGCAUCUGACUCUGAGGGACGAAAGCUAGGGGAGCGAAUGGG